GACGAACGCUGGCGGCGUGCUUAGCACAUGCGAGUCGAACGGAAAGGCCCUGCUUUUGUGGGGUGCUCGAGUGGCGAACGGGUGAGUAACACGUGAGUAACCUGCCCUUGACUUUGGGAUAACUUCAGGAAACUGGGGCUAAUACCGGAUAGGAGCUCCUGCUGCAUGGUGGGGGUUGGAAAGUUUCGGCGGUUGGGGAUGGACUCGCGGCUUAUCAGCUUGUUGGUGGGGUAGUGGCUUACCAAGGCUUUGACGGGUAGCCGGCCUGAGAGGGUGACCGGCCACAUUGGGACUGAGAUACGGCCCAGACUCCUACGGGAGGCAGCAGUGGGGAAUAUUGCACAAUGGGCGGAAGCCUGAUGCAGCAACGCCGCGUGCGGGAUGACGGCCUUCGGGUUGUAAACCGCUUUCGCCUGUGACGAAGCGUGAGUGACGGUAAUGGGUAAAGAAGCACCGGCUAACUACGUG
rnacentral:rRNA from 1 species